rnacentral:rRNA from 1 species
UACGUAGGGUGCGAGCGUUAAUCGGAAUUACUGGGCGUAAAGCGUGCGCAGGCGGUUUGUUAAGCCAGAUGUGAAAGCCCCGGGCUCAACCUGGGAACUGCGUUUGGUACUGGCAAGCUAGAGUACGGCAGAGGGGGGUGGAAUUCCACGUGUAGCAGUGAAAUGCGUAGAGAUGUGGAGGAACACCGAUGGCGAAGGCAGCCCCCUGGGCCGUAACUGACGCUGAGGAGCGAAAGCAUGGGGAGCGAACAGG